CUUUCCUUCUAUUUCUCUUUCCAAUCUUUCUGUUUCUGUCUGAUCUCAGAAGCUUAGCAGGGUUGGGCCUGGUUAGUACUUGGAUGGGAGACUGCCUGGGAAUACUGGGUGCUGUAGGGU
rfam:Callithrix jacchus chromosome 21, whole genome shotgun sequence